rnacentral:rRNA from 1 species
UCCAGACUCCUACGGGAGGCAGCAGUGGGGAAUAUUGCACAAUGGGGGAAACCCUGAUGCAGCGACGCCGCGUGAGUGAAGAAGUAUCUCGGCAUGUAAAGCCCUAUCGGCAGGGAAGAAGCAAGACGGUACCUGACUAAGAAGCCCCGGCUAACUACGUGCCAGCAGCCGCGGGAAUACGUAGGGGGCGAGCGUUAUCCGGAUUCACUGGGUGUAAAGGGAGCGUAGACGGCCAUGCAAGCCAGGGGUGAAAGCCCGGGGCCCAACCCCGGGACUGCCCUUGGAACUGUGCGGCUAGAGUGCGGGAGGGGCAGGCGGAAUUCCUGGUGUAGCGGUGAAAUGCGUAGAUAUCAGGAGGAACACCGGCGGCGAAGGCGGCCUGCUGGACCGUGACUGACGUUGAGGCUCGAGAGCGUGGGGAGCAAACAGGAUUAGAUACCCCAGUAUG